rnacentral:sRNA from 2 species
AGUGGGUAUAUAGAUGCGUGGUGAUUGAUUAUAAUUUUUAAAGUUCAGCAUCCUCAAAAUAGUGGCGCACUCACGAACGGGAGUAAGGAGGGCGCUUGGCACGGUUUUAUAUUUGCGCUUUCUUCUUAUUAUCUGUUCGUUUUAAUUUUGGAGGGAGGGGGCCCGGGGAAGAUUUUUAUCUGCUUCAAUCCAUUUUUCUAAUCUUCAGCUAUGAAGCUUCGAUUUUCGCAUUCGUUUGCUCUUCUUGGUGUUGUUGCUGGGUGGACAAGAACGGGAGGUACUGAGUUUGAGCUUGCUAAGACAUAGAGUGUGCACGACAUUAUCGGCCGCUUGAAGAGUGCCCCUGGCGGAUAUAAACAUGUUGCCGAUGACGGAGUUAUACGCUCCUUCGGUCUAGAUGGCGCUGUGGUUGACGCUGCAAGGCUGACGAAUGCACAGCUCAUGAAAACUGCCCUCGAUCAUUACGACCCAGAUGCGCGGAAGCACUUGGAGGAGUGGCGUUGAUGGUCACAAUGUCUCGGACAGUCAGCUCUAUGCACCAGAGAACACUUGCUCCCUCUCUUCGUUACAAAUAAGACUAUAGAAAUGCACCUUCAGCAGAGUGAGGAGGAACAGCUCACCUUAUUUGGACGGAUCAUGGAUGGCCUUAGGAACCGGCGGCAUGAUCCUCCAAGUUCUGAUGAAUGCUGUUCCUAUAUUUUAUGCCGUG